GUCAAGUCGGAUGUGAAAUCCCCGGGCUCAACCUGGGAACUGCAUUCGAAACUGGCAGGCUUGAGUCUUGUAGAGGGGGGUAGAAUUCCAGGUGUAGCGGUGAAAUGCGUAGAGAUCUGGAGGAAUACCGGUGGCGAAGGCGGCCCCCUGGACAAAGACUGACGCUCAGGUGCGAAAGCGUGGGGAGCAAACAGGAUUAGAUACCCUGGUAGUCCACGCCGUAAACGAUGUCUACUUGGAGGUUGUGCCCUUGAGGCGUGGCUUCCGGAGCUAACGCGUUAAGUAGACCGCCUGGGGAGUACGGCCGCAAGGUUAAAACUCAAAUGAAUUGACGGGGGCCCGCACAAGCGGUGGAGCAUGUGGUUUAAUUCGAUGCAACGCGAAGAACC
rnacentral:rRNA from 4 species